rnacentral:rRNA from 1 species
GAUGAACGCUGGCGGCGUGCUUAACACAUGCAAGUCGAACGAUUAAAGCCCCUUCGGGGGUGUAUAGAGUGGCGAACGGGUGAGUAACACGUGGGCAAUCUGCCCCUCACUUCGGGAUAACUCAGGGAAACUUGAGCUAAUACCGGAUACUCCGAACUGAUCGCAUGGUCGGUUCGGGAAAGCUCCGACGGUGAGGGAUGAGCCCGCGGCCCAUUAGCUUGUUGGUAGGGUAAUGGCCUACCAAGGCGACGAUGGGUAGCCGCGCUGAGAGGCGGAUCGGCCACACUGGGACUGAGACACGGCCCAGACUCCUACGGGAGGCUG